UACGGAGGGUGCAAGCGUUAUCCGGAUUUACUGGGUUUAAAGGGUGCGUAGGCGGGUAAGUAAGUCCGUGGUGAAAUCUCUGAGCUUAACUCAGAAACUGCCGUGGAUACUAUUUGUCUUGAAUAUUGUGGAGGUGAGCGGAAUAUGUCAUGUAGCGGUGAAAUGCUUAGAUAUGACAUAGAACACCAAUUGCGAAGGCAGCUCACUACACAAUCAUUGACGCUGAAGCACGAAAGCGUGGGGAACAAACAGG
rnacentral:rRNA from 1 species